GGGAGCAUGCCGCCUUGUUACUGCCAGAUAUGGAUAGAAGUAGCUCCUGCUCUUCAAUGAACCUCCAUUGGUUUCUGCUACCAAACUGACCUCCACUGAUAUCGUCCUGGCUAGAAAAAAUGGAGUAGUUUGUUGCUGCUCUUAUUGUGAUCUUCACCAGUACUUUAGAAGUUGAGGGAUAGCAGGGUAGCCUCAUUACAGCUGGACAGUUUCAAAUGUUCUCCAUCUCCACCAAACCUCCUUUCAUACUACCUCAGUGGAGAGGGAGAUGGAUACCUCAUUAUUGUUGAGUUUGGGGUGGAAGUCCAGACUGCCCAUUUAGUCAACAUAGACACUGCAUGUAAGGUAAGAGAAGAAUCUUGCUAACCCCCGGCAGGGAUGAAACUCCUAGAUUCCUGCUCAGACUUCUUUUACACUACUCUGGGCGCUGGAAGUAGAGGGUGUUGGAAUACCCUGGCAAGGAUCAGCAUCUGGGCUUGCCACUUUGCCUUUGCAGGUGUACAUGGGGAUGGGACCAUAAUUCUUUUUGUGGUGUUCAACGAGAGCAAAAUGGUAUUGCUUUCUGUCUUUCUAGGCUGCCCCUUUCUUGUUCCUUUGACUAGAGAGAACAGCCUUUUGUUGGAACUUUGUUUUUUGGUCUGAACCAGUUGGCAUUUCUGGGUUGCAGGCUUCUUCAGCUCUGAAGUUUUGAUGUAUAAGGUAAAAAUUUAAAAUCCAUGUCAUUCCUUGAGUCCUUCAGUCUCUAGCUAGUUUUUCACCUUCUCUCAGCUUUUCAGAGUCUCUUUAAAUUUCUUAGAUGUGUAAUGCGGAGGGAUUUUAGUUGUACCUAGAAGGGGGAUUAGAAAAAACUAUGUCUACUCCAGCUUUCUAGAAGUGAAAGUCUCCCAUUACUUUGCUUCUUUUUAAAAAUUGUUUUUAAUUGGGAAGACAGCAUACAAUUUUCACAUCAGAUUCUUUCAGGAAGUUCAACAGAAUUAUACAAAACUAAUCAUGAAUUUAGUAUUAAAAAGGAAACCUUCAGACAGAGAAAAUGUCUCUAAUUUAUUUUUUAAUAUCCAUUUUACUUCCACUUUGAAAUAUCCAUCGGUUUGUUUCUUGACAAGUUUGUCUCUUUUAGGACCUGCAACAUCUCUGUUUAGUAGUGAGCUUUUCUCAUUUAAAAGUACUUACUGAAUGACUCCCACAUGGGAGUCACGUCAAUUUCCUUCAUUGAUGCUCCCCUAUGCCUAUCAGAAGGACUGGCACAUACUAGGACUUAAUAAAUAAUCUGCUGAAUAAGUGAAUGAGAACUGGAAAUUUAAAUUUUUAUGUCAAUGAAUGUGUCAUCUACUUUCUUGUUUUGCUGAAUCAUGGGGCUUAAGUUUCUGCCAAGCACUCUUUAAAUAUGUGCUUAGGACACUAGCAGAUUUGUCCAGAAUUUUGCAACCUAGAAAAAAAGCAAUUUUAAUUUUAGCCCAUGUGUAAAUUUUUAGUUUAUGGUUUAGAAUUGCAUUAUUUUGAAUUACAAAUGGGGAGGACGACAUGAUGGUUCUCACGUGUGUGUAUGUGUGUACGCACAUUCACUCCUAUCGUUGCUAAAGAAAGUCACCUGAAGGACAUGGCACAAAAACAACUGCAAACCAUUUUUAUUUCUGUUUCCUAGAUGCCUGAAUCUUUUUUCAGAUUUUUUUCUAUUAGACAAGUCACAGUUUGAUUAUCUUUGAAAGUCAUUGCUAUGUAUUGUGCAGUGUGUGUGUUUAUACAUGGAAAAGGGGCAACAUUAAUCCAUCAUUUGGGGAAGACACUGAAUAUAAUGUUAAAUUUUUUGCAAACAAUCAUACUUUAGAUAAAGAUUCUCCAAUUAUUGCAACAUUUUAAAAAAAUAAAGUUAAAGGACAUGGUUCUUUUUAGUGCCACUCAGUAUGUUUGGUUUCAGUACUAAUAAUGCUUGCUUUCCUGUUUGGCUUUAAAUUCUGCUUAAGGAAAUUGUGAAAAAUUUAAUUCACUCUACUUUUAUUAGAAAGUAUAGAAAUGUUCGUGCAUGGGAUUCAUUGCCUGCUAGAAUGGAAAUUCAUUGGGGAGGGGAACCAUUUCAUUUUACUACCUAAGAGCUGUUGACACAGUCCCUGCAUCUUUCAAAGGCAUCUUUCAUGCCACACGGGCAAACUGUAGCCAGCGAAGAAACAGAAAGAGCCCUUCUCACAUAUGUCAAUCUCAGAAAACUUGCAUAGCAGCUGUGCUAGGUACUGAUGAGGAUUACUAUAGACCCAGUUGCGGGGUUUUAUGUGGAUAAAGAGACAACUGGCUUUCUCAGGGGAGCACUUUGUUGGAGAUUGCAGCAAUAGUGCAUCCCCACUGUUGCUAGAAGACACUGACCAUGUAGUACAAAAUCAGUGCCAGAUAAAAUCAGAAAGUAACAAAAAGCAAGAAGAAAACCCGGAGUUUUUUUAAAUCUUAAAGUGAGAGACGAAAACAAAUGUUCUGGGCUUGUUUCAUUCACUUGUAAGGAAAAGGAGACAGACGAAGGGAUGCCUUUAACUCAGAAAACUUGAAGGGCUUUCAGUCUUUUCAUUUGAGAACCAUUUGGGUGUGUUGAGAAAAAAAGUUGCAGAGUAGGCAUGUUCAGACCUUUAUUUGCUACAUUUGGUAGGAAAGAUUUUUUUUUUCCCCUCUUAACUACAAGAAGCCAGAGUUUUCUGUGCAAACGAAACAGGCGUUGCAAGAAUCAGAUUCACUUUGGACGACUCUUCACAUUCCAAGUCAUCAUUGCGUUAGGCAGCACAAUUCCAUCUCUGGUUGAUGGGCAGAAAAAGUGGGCAGCUUGCCAGGUAGACGUUUCCAUGACUCCCAGCCCCCAAAGGUGAUGCGUUUUUCAGCUAAUUCAAUGAAGAGUGGGCUGAACUUUGGGUCUAAACGAGACAAUAGCUGCCUUCGCAGUAUCAGCAGAAUGGUUGAUGGGAGUGCACUCUACAUUUGGCAGAGAAUCAUGUGACCUUACGACUGAGAUUUUGUGAUGGUGCCAACGGAGACUUGGAAAGCAGCAACCGUCCUGACUUUUUUCUUCUUCUCUAACGUGGCUCAGAAAAUGGUGGAUCUUAAUACUUGACUUUAGCCAGACUCAGCAAGCGACUGAGCUUUGAAGCACAACUUCGCCUUUAUGCUGGGUUUUUGGCAGGCCACCAGGAGGCUGUCCCUUUCACGCCUGAUAAAUUCUGCUGCUUAUCUCUAAAUAGAAAAAAAAAGAAAAAAGAAAAUAAUAAUAGAAUAUUGAGGCAUAACAAGUGAAUUCUAAAAUUGUAUGUGCUUUUUGUUUUUUUGCCUUUUCUGACUGGUGAUUUGUAUUUUUAUUUUAUUUAUUUAUUUAUUUUUUAGGUUACUACCCUUUCUGCUUGUAGAAGAAUCCAAGUAGUUGGGUCUUUUUUUUUUUUUUUUUUGGUUUAUAAUGAACAGGCAUUUGAACUGGGCAAACAGGACGACAGCAGCAGUGAGCAUGAGAUCAUUGCAUUGCAGCAGUGUAGCAAACUGGCACCUUGCCUUUGCACCCCUUUGGUUCAGGAGACAAACGUGUGCAAUCCUCAUUUCUAAAGUCAGCACAGCCUGGAAGGAUUCCUGGUCUCUCCCACCUUCUACCAUUCUGCUGCCAGUGACGGCAAGGAUUGGUGUAGCUUCUGCGCAGUGCUUUGUGCCUGGAAUACCGAGAAGGAAGAAAAAGAAGACGAGCACCCUGGUCCUUUUCUCAGAAAUUACAGGCGCCCUUGAAGAAAAAAUCUGAGUGUGUCCUACUACAUGCAAGAGUGCUGAAAAAAAAAAAAAAAAAAGAGACGCUCCUGCUCAAAAACAAAAACAAAAGCAAACAAACAAAAAUCCAAACCAAAACAAACCAAAAAAAGCAAACAUUGGCUGUAUAACUACAGAGACAUCGGGCUUUGUAAAUCAGCUUUUUAAGUCAACAUAACCAAAUGAGCCUUCUUUAUUUUUAUUAUUUCAAACCAUAUGGCAUAAUUAGCAAUAUAUUGCACUUGGUGAAAUCGCACCUUUCAUAUCAGGGAAAAACUUAAAAUGGAUAUGAAAAGUGAAGAAAGUGAUCAUAGGAGAAAACCAUUUCAGGUGUCUGAUGAUUUGUGAGCCUCAAGUGACUACUCUGUGGAAUCACCUGUCCUUGCCUUUGAAUUAGCUUUCCGUAGGCCAUGAGUCAACAUUAGUAGUUUAUACAUCCAAAUUGAUGACAAGAGCACCUCAAAGGCAGCAGCCUCAAGGAGCAGCCAUGGCCCCAGAGUUGUCCCACGGAUGCAGAAAACUUAAUGGAGGAGGCUGAGGUCAGAAUGGGAAGAGUUUUUAAAAAGUAAAAAGGGGAGCUAAUAUGUGAGGAACUGAUUGCUGUGCAUUAUUUUCCGCUGAACAGACCACAGACCUUCUUUUAACUUCUAAUCUCAAGCACAUAGCAGCUGUUGUUUUCAUAUUAAAGAUCAGUAAGUGUUUGUUGAAUGAAUGUAUAAAUUCUUCCCCAAUCUCUGUUCCAUGUAAUAAGAACUAAGUUAGCAUUCAAUUAUAAAGAGGACUUAGAAAGUCUGCAGGCAUUUUUGAUCAAAAAUCCUUUUAACUGCCUUCUCAUGGUUCCCGGUAACACCUAAGCCCAAAAAACUCAGGUCAUUUCUUGCCUGUACUGUUGCAAUAGCCUCAUAAUAACUAGUCUUCUCCUUUAUCAACCACAGUCGUCUCCACUACACAAAGAAGAGAGGGUGCUAAUCUAAAGUGUAAAUUAUUUUAAAUCAGCACCCUCCUCGUAAUUUCCCAGUGGUUUUUCCUGUCAUAAGAAUAACAUGCAAAAUUCCUUGCUUGCAAAGCCAGGUAUGACCUUGCCCCGUCUACCUUACUGGCAUCGUCUCUCAUGACUCUUCCCCUUUCUCACUCUCCAUCUUGCCUUUUCCCAACCAUGCCUGCUAGUGAGCCUUAGCCCUUGUGUUCUCUCUGCCAGGGAUGCAUGACUGGCUUCUUUACUUUAUUCUGAUCUCUCUGCUCAAAUGUCAUCUUUUUAGAGAUACCUUUCCUAAACAUCUUUAAAAGUACCCCAUUAACUGUGGAACACCUUUCCUGUUUUAAGUUUUCUUCAUAGUACUUAUCACUUCCUGAUAUUAUGUUAGACAACAAGCAAAUAAGUAUAUGCAUAUAUGCUGUUCCCAGUAAAAUAUAAGCUCCGUUUGAACAGGAGCCUUGAUUAUUCCUGAGUAUACCCAUAGUGCCCAGAACCUAGUAGGGCUUUAAUAAAUAUUGGGGCUUUAAUAAAUAUUAGAUUCAUUUGUUGAAUGAAAAAAUAAAUGAAUACCUUGAAUAAAGAUAUCCAGGUAGAGUGUCUGGGCAGCCCAACCUAUGUGAAGCCAGUACAAGAAUGUUUCUGUGACAUAAUGAAUGCAAUUAUUCCUCUAAAUGAUGAACUUGCAUGAGUACACGAGGAUAAAAUUAAGCACGUAGUUUAGAUUUCUGCAAGUCUCUUCCUCAGAUUGAGGAAAAACAAAGAAAUUGAGCUUAUUCUCACCUCAUUCUUACAUGAACUAAAUCCAGAAUAAAGCACCAUUUAUAUACCAAGCACAUCCCUACCUCAGCCACUCAUGGAAUACUUUAUCUGUAAAGGGACAGAUAGUAAAUAUUUUUGGCUUUGGGGACCGUACAGUCUGUGUCGCCACUACUCAGCACUUCUGUUGAGGUGUGGAAUCAGCCCUAGACAACACAUAAACAAAUGGGUGUGGCUGUGUUCCAAUAAAAUGUUAUUUAUAAAACUAGGAAAUCAGCAGAUUUAGCCCACAGGCUGUAGUUUGCUGACCCUUGAAUUAGAGAGUCUUCCCCAAAUCCUCUUCCCAAGUUAUUGAAAGUAUGCCCAUAGGACCAUGGCUCCCUCACCUGGUUCUUUCGAGAAAUGAGACAAAUUCAGGGAUGGUUGGAGGGUGGAACACCUACAUGUGACAUGACUAUUGAGCCCAAUUUCUUUCCUUUUAUCUCUUUAAAGUGAGUCAGGUCUUAACAUUAAACUGUCUCUAAAGUAGCAAUAACUGGGCCUUGUCAGAUACUCCCAAUGACAAAAUUUCUUCUUGGAGAAUGAAUGAGGGUUGCAUACAGCAAUGUGUUGGUAAGUGUUUAGCAACUGGCUCUCUUACUGAUUUCUGUAGUGUAAAUUCUCCCAUCCUGGCCAUCUGAAACUACCAAUAUGAUGUCACUUAAUGUAGAGUUGGGAAAAGACAGUCUCUUGAAUCAGUAUGAGCUGGUUCCAGGCCACUGCUGAACACAUAUUUAAAAGCUACAAUAGCUCUGCUCGCUGCCAUUGCAGAGUCUGAAGGAAAGAGUAGUGGGCUUGAUAGGAGCAAUUGGCUGGAUAAUCUUUUGCAAUGCCAACAAAUAAUGAAAAAGCAUAUAAAUAUAAUGCUGUAUAGAAAGCUCUCAAGUUCAGUGUUUGGUUAAAAUACAUACUCAGUAAAUGGUAGCUAUUAUCAUCUUAGUUUAAGUUAUUGCAAGCAUUAAAAUUAAAUGUUUAGCUACAGACUCAAUCCAAUUUUAAUGUCAUUGUGUUAAUAAGGCCUCUUAACAUUGAAGCAAGAAAGAUAAAGGAAUUUUUUUGUAGCUAUUCACGAUUCUGCCCAGCUCAAGGUAAAGAUAGCAACAAAAUACUCCAACCAGAAUAAAAGAAGUCUCCACUUGACUGCAGCUCUUCACAACACUUCACAAGGGUCAAGCUGUGUUAGUGUCCUUCAGUGUUAAACAGAAUUCGUCUUAAGAGAAUAGUUCAAUCAUUGAUUGAAUAGUAGGUUCAAGUUGACUAUAAUCCCAACUAAUACACUCUAAGACCAGGGAUGGGCCAACAGAAGGGUAAAGUUUUCCACUCAAGUCUCGAGGCAAACACUCAGAUAGAAGUAGUAAUAUGGAUGCCUUCUAUUAUUUGGUCACAUACAAUACUGCUCCAGGCCAGUUGUGCAAAACUGGUGAAAUAAAAGGCAAAAAUAUUGACAACAGUUUGGGUAACUGGAUUCCAAAAUGGGCAUCCAUCUAACAGAAAUUAAUGAAAAAAAAGUAUAUGGACCUUGAAAGACAUUAACACACAGUUUAGGUUUGAACACUCAGUUUUUGCUAGAAAAGACUAACAUAUGCUGUUUUGAAUACUACAAAAGUGCUUUCUGAAUCAUUUACUCUCAAACCUCCUCCACGCAUUCCCCUCCAUCUAUAACGCUUUCUGCACAUCUGUAAGAGGUAUGACUUAGUGUUUGGUCUGUGAAAUAAAGUUAAAAAGGAAGCAUUUCUCUUUACAUUCUAGCUAAUGUUGAUAUUUUUCUCAUGCUUCUAUUAGCACAUAAUUCAGAUACAUUAGUUUUGAAGUUUUGAAUCUGCUCUGUUUCUUGAGGGCUCUCUGUUCUAGAUCAACAUUAUCUGUGGAACACCAGACAAGUCCUGGGCAGAAUCCUCCCCGUUGUCCAAAUAUUACUGAAUCAGUUGAGUUUUCUCUGUUUUCAAUGAAUUAUUCCAUAUGUUUAUUUGCUGCAUUUUCUUUUGGCUUUCUGUUCACGGUAAAUAAUAGCUUUUGUUUUUAAAAACUUCUAUUAUGAAAAUUCCAGAUAUAUGCAAAUUAGAGAGAAUAGCAUAAUGAACCUCUAUGUGCUUAUCACACAUACAGGUUCAACUAAUUAAAUUAUAUCAAUUUAUGGCCAAUCUGGUUUCAUUUAUAACAUCAUUCACUCAUUCCUAACUCCCUGGAUUAUUUGAUUGAUAUAUGUUUCUAAAGUUCCUUUUAAUCUAUAGGUUCCCCCUCUCAUUUAAUCUUUUGCAACUUAUUUAUUGAUGAAACUGGGUUAUUUGUCCUUUAUUGUUUCUCUCAUUCUGAAAUAUGCUGUAAUGUUCUUCUUUCCUGUAUUUUCUGUAAGCUUUGAGCUAGGCAGAAAUAUUUUAAUCAGAUUCCUUUUUUUUUUCUUUUAGCAAGAUUUCUUCAUAAAUAAUAUUGUAUGCGUUCAUGAAAAUAGAAAUAAAAAUUGAAAUAAAAAAGAAAUAACAGAAAAA